CCUAGUACAUCUGCCGGCCAAUUUCUCCUUUGUUCUAGUAUCGGCGAUUGUACCUCCUUCCCUCUCUUGGCGGACGACUAGAGUCGUCGUAAAACAGGAGCUUAAGAAGGAGGCUGAGGGAAACAGUAGUCCGGCAAUGGGAUUGAAGCUUCGGACAUAACUUCCAGCAGCAAGAUCUGUGGUUGUGAGUUGGCAGGAAGAUACUUAGAGUGAGUGAAGAAUUUCAGCAGCCAACAACCCUUGACGGCAGUAACUUCAGCCAACAACUUUUGGAUUUCAGUAUAAACCAGUGGCUUUGAAUCAAGGUAAGAAGUAGAGUAAUGGUUACGUGUUGAUGAGUUGGAUUCAUGUAUUGGAUUAGGAAAAUAUUGGAUUAAUUCAUGUUUAGGUAUAAUCUUGAUACCUACUGAUAAUUUAUUCAUCAUUAGGUUGUGUAGAAUAAUUAUGUUAUAUGGAUUUAGGUUUUUGGAUUUUUAUCAAAAAGGUUGUUUGGGGUUAAGGUAAUUAAUCCUAAUUAAUCGUUAGAAAGGUCGAAGGAAAUGGUUUAGGGUUUAUCCCUAAAUUUCUAUUUAGGAUUUAUUUAGCUGUUUAUUUGUAUUCUAGUUAAAUAAAAGUAAAGGUAUUUUUGGUAUUUCAGGACUUUGACGCGAGACGAGUA